AGUGAACGCUGGCGGUAGGCCUAACACAUGCAAGUCGAACGGCAGCACAGUAAGAGCUUGCUCUUACGGGUGGCGAGUGGCGGACGGGUGAGGAAUACAUCGGAAUCUACUUUUUCGUGGGGGAUAACGUAGGGAAACUUACGCUAAUACCGCAUACGACCUACGGGUGAAAGCAGGGGAUCUUCGGACCUUGCGCGAUUGAAUGAGCGGAGGUCGGAUUAGCUAGUUGGCGGGGUAAAGGCCCACCAAGGCGACGAUCCGUAGCUGGUCUGAGAGGAUGAUCAGCCACACUGGAACUGAGACACGGUCCAGACUCCUACGGGAGGCAGCAGUGGGGAAUAUUGGACAAUGGGCGCAAGCCUGAUCCAGCCAUACCGCGUGGGUGAAGAAGGCCUUCGGGUUGUAAAGCCCUUUUGUUGGGAAAGAAAAGCAGCAGGUUAAUACCCCGCUGUUCUGACGGUACCCAAAGAAUAAGCACCGGCUAACUUCGUG
rnacentral:rRNA from 1 species